rnacentral:lncRNA from 1 species
GAAGUGGCUGCAAAAUAAAAAAAAAAAACAUAAGGGCCACUUCUUUCACUACAAUUAGACUUAUCAGAGUGCGGGAACAAUCAUGCACUUAUACUUGUGGAUUCACAGGAUCCUCACAGACUUCUAAGGGUAAGUCAACCUGCGGCUCCUCACUUUCUUCCUCAUCUGGGAAGGGGGUAUGGAAAGAGUGAGUUCCAUAUUCUUAGUAAGAAAAAUAGUAUUAAAUUAACAUAGUACGAUUUCAAAAGUUAAUUAUUUUAACUUAUCAUUUAACCUCCUCGUUUACCUAUCUCACAUUAUGUAAAACCAUUCUUUUGUUAAGAAAAUAGUACGUUAAUACAGAU